AUGAACGCUAGCUACAGGCUUAACACAUGCAAGUCGAGGGGCAGCAUGAACUUAGCUUGCUAAGUUUGAUGGCGACCGGCGCACGGGUGAGUAACACGUAUCCAACCUGCCGAUGACUCGGGGAUAGCCUUUCGAAAGAAAGAUUAAUACCCGAUGGCAUAGUUCUUCCGCAUGGUAGAACUAUUAAAGAAUUUCGGUCAUCGAUGGGGAUGCGUUCCAUUAGGUUGUUGGCGGGGUAACGGCCCACCAAGCCUUCGAUGGAUAGGGGUUCUGAGAGGAAGGUCCCCCACAUUGGAACUGAGACACGGUCCAAACUCCUACGGGAGGCAGCAGUGAGGAAUAUUGGUCAAUGGACGAGAGUCUGAACCAGCCAAGUAGCGUGAAGGAUGACUGCCCUAUGGGUUGUAAACUUCUUUUAUACGGGAAUAAAGUGAGGCACGUGUGCCUUUUUGUAUGUACCGUAUGAAUAAGGAUCGGCUAACUCCGUGCCAGCAGCCGCGGUAAUACGGAGGAUCCGAGCGUUAUCCGGAUUUAUUGGGUUUAAAGGGAGCGUAGGCGGACGCUUAAGUCAGUUGUGAAAGUUUGCGGCUCAACCGUAAAAUUGCAGUUGAUACUGGGUGUCUUGAGUACAGUAGAGGCAGGCGGAAUUCGUGGUGUAGCGGUGAAAUGCUUAGAUAUCACGAAGAACUCCGAUUGCGAAGGCAGCCUGCUGGACUGUAACUGACGCUGAUGCUCGAAAGUGUGGGUAUCAAACAGGAUUAGAUACCCUGGUAGUCCACACCGUAAACGAUGAUUACUAGGUGUUGGAGGAUUGACCCCUUCAGUGCCGCAGUUAACACAAUAAGUAAUCCACCUGGGGAGUACGACCGCAAGGUUGAAACUCAAAGGAAUUGACGGGGGCCCGCACAAGCGGAGGAACAUGUGGUUUAAUUCGAUGGUACGCGAGGAACCUUACCCGGGCUUGAAUUGCAAAUCACUGAUGUGGUGACAUUGCAGCCGCAAGGCAGUUGUGAAGGUGCUGCAUGGUUGUCGUCAGCUCGUGCCGUGAGGUGUCGGCUUAAGUGCCAUAACGAGCGCAACCCUUAUCGAUAGUUACCAUCAGGUUAUGCUGGGGACUCUGUCGAGACUGCCGUCGUAAGAUGUGAGGAAGGUGGGGAUGACGUCAAAUCAGCACGGCCCUUACGUCCGGGGCUACACACGUGUUACAAUGGGGGGUACAGAAGGCAGCUACACGGCGACGUGAUGCUAAUCCCUAAAGCCUCUCUCAGUUCGGAUUGGAGUCUGCAACCCGACUCCAUGAAGCUGGAUUCGCUAGUAAUCGCGCAUCAGCCACGGCGCGGUGAAUACGUUCCCGGGCCUUGUACACACCGCCCGUCAAGCCAUGAAAGCCGGGGGUACCUGAAGUGCGUAACCGCAAGGAGCGCCCUAGGGUAAAACUGGUGAUUGGGGCU
rnacentral:rRNA from 1 species